GUGCUUCUUUGGCAACAUAAAUUCUAAAAUUGGAAUGAAUGAUACAAAGAUUAACAUGGCCACUGUGCUAGGAUGACAUGCAAAUUCAUGAAGUGUUCCAUAUUUUU
ensembl:snRNA U6 U6 spliceosomal RNA